GGACUGUUAGUCCAGUAGCUCAGUCAGCAGAGUAUGAUGCUCUUAAUCUCAGGGUUGUGGGUUCAAGCCCCACAUUGGCCA